rnacentral:rRNA from 1 species
GACGAACGCUGGCGGCGUGCCUAAUACAUGCAAGUCGAACGCAUUUUCUUUCACCGUAGCUUGCUACACCGAAAGAAAAUGAGUGGCGAACGGGUGAGUAACACGUGGGUAACCUGCCCAUCAGCGGGGGAUAACACUUGGAAACAGGUGCUAAUACCGCAUAAUUCCAUUUACCGCAUGGUAGAUGGGUGAAAGGCGCUUUUGCGUCACUGAUGGAUGGACCCGCGGUGCAUUAGCUAGUUGGUGGGGUAACGGCCUACCAAGGCUGCGAUACAUAGCCGACCUGAGAGGGUGAUCGGCCACACUGGGACUGUGACACGGCCCAGACUCCUACGGGAGGCAGCAGUAGGGAAUCUUCGGCAAUGGACGCAAGUCUGACCGAGCAACGCCGCGUGAGUGAAGAAGGUUUUCGGAUCGUAAAACUCUGUUGUUAGAGAAGAACAAGGAUGAGAGUGGAAAGUUCAUCCCUUGACGGUAGCUAACCAGAAAGCCACGGCUAACUACGUG